rnacentral:tRNA from 6 species
GUCGGCGUAGCUCAGCCGGUUAGAGCGUGGGACUCAUAAGCCCAAGGUCGCUGGUUCGAUUCCAGCCGCCGACACCA